CAUGCAGUUGUGAGUACUCUUAAUACUCCACAGAUCAUAUGAGUUUACAGUAGAACAGCAAUGUUGUUAAUUUCUUUACUACAGGAAAAUAAUGAAGAAACAUUGACAGCUGUUACAGAGGAGGAAGCAACAGAGACACUUUAUGAGAGUGAUGAUGGAAAUGCAGAGGAAGAGGGUCCAGCCACUUCUCCAACAAACCUUUCCGCACUCCCUGUAAAGCAGCUGUACAAGACCUAUUUGAUCAAGAAAAUUAAAAAAAUGCGACUUGGAAAUGGAACACUUCAAGCAGCAGAUCCAAAAGACCAAGAUUGAGAUUUUACUGCUGGAACAUCAGUUAAGGGUGGGUGAAGUGGUCAGAGAUGGACGAAUUAUUUCAGUGUUUGAACAACAUAAUAAUAUACUUAUUAAUACUUUGUGUACAGGAAAUACAGGCGACCAAUAAAGCCAGUUGAACAAAAAAUCUGUUUAUUCUUCUUUCAACAUGUUGAGGUGAUGGGUCACAGGAAAUGAUUGUGACAUAUGGUGUCUCUGACUGCUCUUCCAUCUUGUAUGUCCGUGGGAGGGUCAGGAUGUUCAUGGUUUGGAUCACUGCUGAUGUUUGGUUCAGAAGGACAGUGUUCUCCUCUAAUUGUGGCAAUGUUGUGAAGAAUCACACAUGCCACAAUAAUGUCA